CCCAGGACUUCUACUUCAACAACAAAUGUGGUUUUGGUUCCAAAUAAUCCAUAGUUAUAUUCAAAUACCUCCGUUUUGUUCGUGCGUUCAGGUCACUAUCCGAAGGGUAACGCGUGAGCGCAUUUCGUGACAAUUUUUUCUAAAAUAUUCCAUUACCGUACUUAGAAGCAUGUCAAACGCUGUUUAACCUGUUAGGGCUAGGGGGCAGUAUUGACACGGCUGGAUAAAAAAACGUACCCGAUUUAAUCUGGUUACUACUCCUGCCCAGUAACUAGAAUAUGCAUAUAAUUAUUGGCUUUGGAUAGAAAACACUCCAAAGUUUCUAAAACUGUUUGAAUAGUGUCUGUGAGUAUAACAGAACUCAAAUGGCAGGUCAAAACCUGAGAAGAUUCUGUACAGGAAGUACCCUGUCUGACCAUUUCUUGGCCUUCUUUGCCAUCUCUAUCCAUUACAAAGGAUCUCUGCUGUUACGUGACACUUCCUACGGCUGCGAUAGGCUCUCAGAAGGCGGCAAAAAGCUGAAUCGUGGCUUUGCAGGCUCUGGCUGAAAAAAAGUAGCGCGUUUGGGUAGUGGCUGGUUACAGUACUGUGAGACUCAGGCGCGUGCCCGCGUCGACCGAAUGCUUUGUUUUCUUUCCUCUGUUUACCUAAACGGAGAUUCCCGGGCGGAAUAUUAUCGCUUUUUUACGAGAAAAAUGGCAUAAAAAUGGAUUUUAAACAGCGGUUGACAUGCUUCGAAGUACGGUAAUGGAAUAUUUAUACAUUUUUUGUCACGAAUUGCGCCAUGCUCGUAACCCUGAUUUACCAUUUCGGAUAGUGUCUGGAACGCACGAACAAAACGCAGCUAUUUGGAUAUAACGAUGGAUUAUUUUGGACCAAACCAACAUUUGUUAUUGAAGUAGCAGUCCUGGGAGUGCAUUCUGACGAAGACAACAAAGAGGGAGAGAAACCAAAAGUCCACCAUCGCCUCAUGGGUUUCCCAGUCGCGGCUGGCAUGGGUAUCGUACCAGCAUCUGUAGCAACGCAGUUUGCACUGCAAUGCAGUGUCUUAGACCGCUGCGCCACUCUGUUAGGAAAAUAUGGCCUGUACAACGUGACCGUUUCCACACCCUAAUCACAGUCAGAAGACAGUUGAAGAAACUUGUGUGGACUUAUGGAAAGGCUCGGCCCAGAUCAAAGCUGUCGAGACAUUCAAUGACGUCAUCUUCACAGACUAAUCAACUCUGGCCCUUGAGCAAUUUGCUCAAAAUUGCUACAGAAAAAAGGAAGAAGAUCAAGCAAGCCGAUUCCCAAGCAUCUGCUCAAACUCCAUGUGUGGGGGGCAAUUUCUCGCCAGAGACCAGGCCCAUAUUUGAUUUGAUGGUAAGUUCGGCUAUUUAUAAAGCAAAAGGUACAUAAAAUAUUAUAGCCUACACCUCACGGACUGCUAUGUGUUCCACAAUAAUUCACAGUUGGCUCAUUUUUCAGGUAUCAUGGCUCGAGAUUUUUUUGAGGAAGAAAUCAUCAAGAGAUAUGCUGGACCCUAUGUCCGAGAGGUAUUUCUGGGACUACAUUGUUUCUUUCAAGUUGGGAUUAUAGCAAUAUUUUGUUAUGUUUAGGCCUAUUUACAUGUAUAUUUCUAGUAUUGUACCUAAUGUUGGCUGUUAGGCUAAAAGUAUUUUUUUCUUCUACAAAUGCAGACAAUGACCCAAAACACACUGCCUCCUGGGUUUGCAUUGCAAAUGAGGGCUUUUACCCGCGGUCAUGGAGCUGGGUGGAAGUGCAACUAAAAUGUAGUUUAAAUAAACAUCUGCAUUUUGAAUGUCUUUUUUGUCGUUAUUUUAUUAUCGAAAGCAUAAAGAUGUUGAUGAAGAAAUACUGUACUGCUGUUUUGAGUUAGAAAUGUAACACUUUAGAGUACUUAAGCAUUGAAUAAAAGUUGGGGGAUGUUCACUCCUACAGUAGCCGGGCUAUAAAGAGUCUAUUGUCCUGCUUAUAGGGCUACACCUGCUACAGUACACUUUUGAAAAACAAGUGUUUGAAAACCUGUUUUCAAAAUGCCUCCAGCUGUCCAUCACUACGUUAAAUAAAAACACAGCAUCUUGUUUACAUUUUUUAUUGUAACCUCAAUGUCACAAGUAAUUUGUAUCUACCUUUACAAUUACUUUUAGAGUUUGGGAUUUACAAAUGUGUGCUUUUCAUGUAAUUUUUUGUUAAAUCCAGUUCGGAUUUAAGUAUAACUUUUGACUGACGCCUUAAGUGAGAGGUCUAAUGCUUUAAUAUUUAAUAAUUUCUGCCCUCAGAAUUCAUAUUUAAGGGGCAUUUUUCGCGCCAUUAUUGGUUACAUUGUUUUAGUUUGAACUUGCAGACAGGCACUAAGAACAGCGGGAACAUUCCCUAGUCAGCACCAUUAUUAGUGCAAUGCCCCUUAAAGUGUUGCUCUGUGCUACCCAGUGCAAUGCCCCUUCCUCCUCCUCCCUUCUAGUGAUGGGUCAUUCGCGAACGAGCCGGCUCUGGGAGCCUUUGGGAGCCAGCUUGCAUAUCAGAAGCGCCAAAUCUAUUUAUAGAACUAUAAAAAAAUUAAGAUAUGAAUAAUCAAAAGAUUUAAAUGAAUAGAAUUAACUAAUUCAAAGAACUAAAAAAUAUAUAUGAUAAUAUAGGCCUAAAUGCUCAAGCGCGCACAGACAUUCCAUCUGACUGUCUGCUCAGAUUAACAGCCUCACCUGUUGUUCCUGUCAACAGACACGCAGUGUCAACCAACGAACCAAAGAUGUGUGAGGGAGGGCCGAGCCAACUCACUCACAGUCACACACUUAGCAACCGAGGAGAGAGAGGAAGGACAGCUGUGAAAACAUAUUUUUUAAAGAGCCGUUUGGGAGCCAAAAGAGCCGGCUCUUUUUGGUGAGCUGAGCCGAACGAGCCGGCUCACUGAAAAGAGCCGGAAUGCCCAUCACUACUCCCUUCCCCAUGGACCAGGUCCGUCUU
rnacentral:lncRNA from 1 species